UAUUGUUAGUUGCCAGCAUUAAGUUGGGCACUCUAGCAAGACUGCCGGUGACAAACCGGAGGAAGGUGGGGAUGACGUCAAAUCAUCAUGCCCCUUAUGACCUGGGCUACACACGUGCUACAAUGGACGGUACAACGAGUCGCAAGACCGCGAGGUUUAGCAAAUCUCUUAAAGCCGUUCUCAGUUCGGAUUGUAGGCUGCAACUCGCCUACAUGAAGUCGGAAUCGCUAGUAAUCGCGGAUCAGCAUGCCGCGGUGAAUACGUUCCCGGGCCUUGUACACACCGCCCGUCACACCAUGAGAGUUUGUAACACCCAAAGCCGGUGGGGUAACCUUUUGGAGCCAGCCGUCUAAGGUGGGACAGAUGAUUGGGGUGAAGUCGUAACAAGGUAGCCGUAGGAGAACCUGCGGCUGGAUCACCUCCUUUCUAAGGA
rnacentral:rRNA from 1 species